UACGGGACGCAGCAGUGGGGAAUAUUGCACAAUGGGGGAAACCCUGAUGCAGCGACGCCGCGUGGGUGACGAAGUAUUUCGGUAUGUAAAGCCCUAUCAGCAGGGAAGAAGAUGACAGUACCUGACUAAGAAGCCCCGGCUAACUACGUGCCAGCAGCCGCGGUAAUACGUAGGGGGCAAGCGUUAUCCGGAUUUAUUGGGUUUAAAGGGUGCGCAGGCGGAGGUGCAAGUCAGCGGUCAAAUUGCGGGGCUCAACCCCGUACUGCCGUUGAAACUGCAUCCCUUGAGUGGGCGUGAAGGAUGCG
rnacentral:rRNA from 1 species